AGAGUUUGAUCCUGGCUCAGAAUCAACGCUGGCGGCGUGCCUAACACAUGCAAGUCGAACGAGAAAGCGGGGGCAACUCCGCGAGUAAAGUGGCGACCGGGUGAGUAACACGUGACUAACCUGCCCUCGAGUGGGGAAUAACCCCGGGAAACCGGGGCUAAUACCGCAUAACAUCCUCGAUACGAAAGUAUUGAGGAUCA
rnacentral:rRNA from 1 species